rnacentral:rRNA from 1 species
AAGUAUGGUUGUGCCAACCUCAUUUCAUCUUAUCCUGGGUGCAAAGCAGGGUUGGGUCUGAUUAGGCCUUGGAUGGGAGACUGUCUGGGACUUCCAGGUGCUGAAAGUU